CGAGAGAAGAUCAAGAGAUUAGUUCUCUGUAACGCCGUUAACACCAGGAAAGAUAUAGAAUUUCAAAAAUGAAAUUACCAAACAAAAUAACAUAAAAAAAUCAACAGGGUAAACCUUCAGUGAAUAUCCUUUCGAAAACGGGAGGGGUGUUGCUCCAACGAUUAGGUGACGAAAUCAUCAUGAACACUGGAACUGAAACUUUCGCUUUCUCUCGCAUCCCUCUCCUUACAGAAUAGCCUGUUCCUCCGGUUUCAUCCAGCGAUUUCACGGGCAGCUGAGUGUGGUCCAGUGUGAAGCUGCAUGAAGAAGCCCCAGGACGGUUCUCCCUUCCAGGUGAUUGAAGACGCUUUCUCGCAGUGCCUG